UACAGAGGGGGCAAGCGUUAUUCGGAAUUAUUGGGCGUAAAGCGCACGUAGGCGGCUUUCUAAGUCGGGGGUGAAAUCCUGGAGCUCAACUCCAGAACUGCCUUCGAUACUGGAGAGCUCGAGUCCGGGAGAGGUGAGUGGAACUGCGAGUGUAGAGGUGAAAUUCGUAGAUAUUCGCAAGAACACCAGUGGCGAAGGCGGCUCACUGGCCCGGUACUGACGCUGAGGUGCGAAAGCGUGGGGAGCAAACAGG
rnacentral:rRNA from 1 species